GACGAACGCUGGCGGCGUGCUUAACACAUGCAAGUCGAACGGAAAGGCCCUGCUUUUGUGGGGUUCUCGAGUGGCGAACGGGUGAGUAACACGUGAGUAACCUCCCCUUGACUGUGUGAGAACUUCAGGAAACUGGGGCGAAUACCGGAUAGGAGCUCCUGCUGCAUGGUGGGGGUUGGAAAGUUUCGGCGUUUGUGGAUGGACUCGCGGCUUAUCAGCUGGUUGGUGUGGUAGUUGCUUACCAAGGUUUUGACGGGUAGCCGGCCUGGGAGGGUGACAGGCCCCAGUGGGCCUGGGGUACGACCCGGAGGCCUACGGGAGGCAGCAGUGGAGAACAUAGCACAAUGGGCGGAGGCAGGAAGCAGCAACGCCGGGUGCGAGAUCACGGCCAUCGGGUUGUAAACCGCUUUUGCCUGUGACGAAGCGUGAGUGACGGUAAUGGGCAAAGAAGCACCGGCUAACUACGU
rnacentral:rRNA from 1 species